rnacentral:misc_RNA from 1 species
GAUGAAGAACGUAGCGAAAUGCGAUACGUAAUGUGAAUUGCAAAUUCAGUGAAUCAUCGAGUCUUUGAACGCACAUUGCGCCCCCUGGUAUUCCGGGGGGCAUGCCUGUCCGAGCGUCAUUGCUGCCCUCAAGCACGGCUUGUGUGUUGGGCCCCGUCCUCCGAUCCCGGGGGACGGGCCCGAAAGGCAGCGGCGGCACCGCGUCCGGUCCUCGAGCGUAUGGGGCUUUGUCACCCGCUCUGUAGGCCCGGCCGGCGCUUGCCGAUCAACCCAAAUUUUUUAUCCAGGUUGACCUCGGAUCAGGUAGGGAUACCCGCUGAAUUUAAGCAUAUCAAUAAGCGGAGGA